rnacentral:lncRNA from 1 species
UCUGUGGCCGCGGAGACACUGAGCUUAUCAGUUAUCAUCGGUCCUAUCAGUCUCGGUGUCGGGUGUCUCAUUUUAAUCUAAUUAUCGUACUAACGGGAAGUAUUGGACUCCGGAAAUUCCAAAGAGCUUGAAAAUCUACUCGAAAGUCUGCUGAGGCCUGCAAAAUUGGAGACAUUCAAAUAUUCCUGGUCUGAACUGAAGAAAAUACCAAAAGAUAAAAGACGGGAGAGCAGAAAAGGAUUGAUGAUUGGUCUUGAUAAAGAAAAGUAUGUGAAGGCGAAAAAGAUACGAGACAACUUUGUAUUUGGUACUAACAGCAUUAUUAGAAGUUUAGAAAGAGGGAACAUUCUAUGUGGAAUAGUGUCUCCAGAUUUUGAUCCUGCAAUGGUUACGGAUCACAUUAUUUCAGUCUCAAAACAAAGAGGAAUUCCAGUGGUUCUUCUCCCUGAGCUAAAUUCUAUUUGUAAACGUUGUCUAGGAUUCCCUGUUAAAGCCCUAGGAUUAAAGAAAAGCGAUUCAAUUAUAAGUGACGAUGGUUACACAAAUUUAAAAAAUCAAAUUCUGGCUUUAAGUGAUCUCCUUGAUGAAGACUUGAAGCGAAUUAAUUCUUCCAAGUCACCUCCUUCUCAUUCCAAAUCGAAGUUGCGACAUCCAAAACCCAUUACACCCACUCCAAGAGACCUAAUUCUAAAAAGGCCGAACAAAAGCAGUAGAUGUUUUGUGCCAGGAGGCUCCUCAGUAGAAGUCAGCAUGGAUAACUCAGAUUUCAUUUCAUUUGGAACUACCACAGCAAGUAAAGUCCUCUUACCGACAUCUAAGACUACUUGCUCAGAAACAGAUGACGAUAGCGAAUCUGAUUCCUAUGUUGAAGCACCACCCACAAAACUGAAACCAUACAGACCCAUGUUCCAGACUUUGAAACUUAAAAAAAUAAAAUCCAAAAGUUAA